rnacentral:lncRNA from 1 species
CCGCUUGCUCUAUAAAAGCUUACGUGCACUUCCAACGAGCACAGUUGGCAGCGGCAGCGACAAGCCAAUAUCGCAUAAAAGGACAAGAUGGUGAAGUUCCCGCUGGCUUUUUUCCUCGUCGUCGCCAUUGCAUGCGCUGUCCUGUGCCGUGCGGAUGAUGACUCACUGGGUAUACAGCGCCUCACCAAGCCAUUCACCGAACUUCUAAAACCGGCGGAGGGCAUUCUUCCGUCAGGAGCUGGAGAACAAUUGCUAAGCCAACUGAACGGAAAGAAAGAAGAAAGCUCGUCACCAUCGAAAGAAGACUCUCCAAGUGAAUCCGAAU